GUUUCUGUGAAAAUAGGCGAGGAACUGAAGUUGGAUGUUCUGCUGCCAAAUGCUGAUAAAGUGGAGAAAAACUCCAGUGGAGAGUUGAGGGAGGUGUGGAAGAGAGGUCGUGGGGUCUGGAGUGAUCGACUGAACGACACUGAUGGGACUCUGAGCAUUAAAGAGUUUACAGCCAAUGAUGCAGGAACAUACAGAGUUCUGGACUCUGAAGGAGAAAUCUUGAUCACAGUGACAGUCACAGGUGCAUUAUCAGGUACAGAAUCAAAGGACAAACUGGACACAGAUGAUGAACAACCUAAUGGCACUGAACAACCUCCCGCUUGGGUUUGGAUUGUGAUUGUUCUGGGGGUUUUGGGGGCUCUGGGUCUGAUUGCAUUUGCUGUCAUCAGGACACACCAGCAUCAGAACCGGAACGAGGGAUGUAAUUCCUACCAAUGCGUCUCAGUGGAACAAACUGUACAGGGGCCCACAUUACCUGACAACAGCAACGGUUAUGUGCAAUCUACCUUUAGUGCCAACAGAUCUGCAGAGGAUGCUGUCAGCGUAUCAUUCCUGACCGAAUAAGCUGUUUAAAUGUCUCCACCUAUUGGUCACUUUAAUUUCAAUGUUUUUUUAAAUAAUCAUUUCAAAUGUAUAUAUUCAAAAAUUCAAACAUUCCUCUCCUAGCAUUAUUUAUGAUUGUGUAAGUGCAGCAUACUGUAAAUGUAAUUAGUUCACAUGCCCUCAAAUAGUUAUACAAGUCACACAAGUUUGAUUUAUUUUUUGACAAGCAAACUUUUUCAAACUGUUUGCAACAUCAAUGUCCUUUGCCAGUCACAUACAUGUUUAACUGAUGAACUGCACUCAUGUGCUACAAAUCAAGGCCACAAGCUUGUGCUACAAAACUUUCAGUCUCUGUAGCACCAGUGAUAUGUGCAAAAAAAAGUUAGCGUGCAGCUCUGGUGACCCUGUCUUAGUAAUUCAUCCCUCAAACGUUUACAAGUGGUUUGCACAGUGCUGCUGCUAAGCUUUUAACCAAGUCAUCAAAGAGAUCACACGUAACCCCAAUUUUAAUUUCUUUACAUUGGCUCCCUGUCAAAUUUAGAAUGAUGAUUGCGGUGGUGUUUAGAGCGUUGCAUGGUCAAGCCCCUGUGUAUAUAACAGAGAUGUUGCAACCCUAUAACUUUAGUAGCAAUCUGAGAUCCUGCUAGUUGUUCCACGCUCUAGAUUGAAGACAAAAGGAGACUGUGCCUUUGAAGUAGCUGCUCCCAAGUUGUGGAAUGCUCUUCCUCUGAAACUGAGAUCUGUGGACUCUGUAGACAUUUUUAAAAAGCAGCUGAAAACUCACUUGUUCAAACUUGCUUUUUCUAAAGCA